GGGGGUCCUCCCCGUUUUUGGGGGGGGGUGUCUUCGUUUCGGGGUCUUAAGCGCUGGUUGGGGGAGUGGCCAAAUGGGGUGCGCUGGCCCUUUAAAUCUUCCUCUUCGGUGGUGCGGAGCAGGAAGCCACGCCCCCUUUGGGAAGCCACGCCCUCUUUAUGGAAGCCACGCCCCCUUUGGGGAAGCCACGCCCCCUUUCAUAAGGGGGAGGGGUCGUGCAGCCCCAUUUUGGGGAUGGCCAAAUGGGGUGCGCUGGCCCUUUAAAUCUUCCUCGUUGGGUGGUGUGGAGUGGGAAGCCACGCCCCCUUUGGGAAGCCACGCCCCCUUUAGGGAAGCCACGCCCCCUUUCCUAAGGGGGAGGGGUCGUGCACCCCUAUUUUGGGGAGUGGCCAAAUGGGGUGCGCUGGCCCUUUAAAUCUUCCUCUUUGGUGGUGCGGAGCAGGAAGCCACGCCCCCUUUCGGGGAGGCCACGCCCCCUUUCAUAAGGGGGCGGGGUCGUGCAGCCCCAUUUUGGGGAGUGGCCAAAUGGGGUGCACUGGCCCUUUAAAUUUUCCUCCCUGGGUGGUGCGGAGCGGGAAGCCACGCCCCCUUUGGGAAGCCACGCCCCCCUUUGGAGAAGCCACGCCCAUCUCCUGUAGCCCCGCCCACAUCCAAAGCCCCACCCCUUCCCCAUAGCCGUAUUCCAUUCCCUAUAGG
ensembl:lncRNA